GCCGAGCGCGGUGGUGCAAGCUUGUAAUCCCAGCAGCUCGGGAGGCUGAGGCAGGAGGAUCCCUAGUUCAAAGCCAAUUCUCAGCAAUGGUGAGGCGCUAAGCAACGCGGUGAGACCCUAUCUCUA
rnacentral:sRNA from 1 species